rnacentral:rRNA from 1 species
GACGAACGCUGGCGGCGUGCUUAACACAUGCAAGUCGAACGGAAAGGCCCCUUUUGGGCUACUCGUGUGGCGAACGGGUGAGUAACACGUGAGUAACCUUCCCUUGACUUCGGGAUAACUUCAGGGAACUGGGGCCAAUACCGGCUAGGGAUCCUUGCUACAUGGUGGGGGUUGGAAAGCUUCGGCGGUUUUGGAUGGACUGGCGGCGUAUCAGCUAGUUGGUGGGGUAGUGGCUUACCAAGGCGUCGACGGGUAGCCGGCCUGAGAGGGUGACCGGCCACCUUGGGACUGAGGGACGGCACAGGCUCCGACGGGAGGCAGCAGUGGGGAAGACUGAUCAAGGGACGGAGGCCGGAUGCAGCAACGCCGCGGGCGGGAUGACGGCCUUAGGGUUGAAAACCGCGUUCAGCAGGGGCGAAGCUUGUGGUGACGGUACCUGCAGAAGAAGCACCGGCUAACUACGUG